UGCUGUGCAGAGGUGUGCAAAAGCCUCACCAAGACAGCAUUGGCAGAAUCAAAUUGGCAAAGCUCAUCAGGCGUUCUUCUGGGACACUGCCUCAGGCCACUGGUCUGCUGCACUUACACCCAUGCUCUGCUCGCUCAGAGAACAAGGUUGCUUGUUAGCCCAUUCAAUGCUUGUAACUUGAUGAUUUUCCCCUCAUUGGAAAUGUGUUUUUUUCUUGGCACUGGCAGAUUGGAGCCUCGUUCAGAUACCUCACGUUAUUGUGCAGCAGUACAAGGCCAGUUCCUGGGGUGCAGCUACAGAUGAAGUGUAUUAAGGCAGUUUUGAGCUCCAUGCACUCAUAAACUGGAAAUUCAGCAAGACUUACAUUACCACUUACUGUCUCUGUUAACCCAGUACCAGAUCUUUAACUGGAACAGGUUACAUUGUACUGCAUGUAGUAAAGAGCAGUAUAAAGGCAUGGCUCCAACAUCCAAGAACUUUUGAACCUCUGCUGGUUUUAUCACUGAGAGAGAUUGGAAGGUUCAUCUAUGGCUAUGAAGCUUUACAAGAAAAUCUUUACACAACACAUGCCAAUGAUUGAGAACCAACUUCAAUAUCAAAAGUGGCAAUCCUCUGAGAAAGGAGAGAGUGGGUGGGAGCAUGGAUUUGCAAAAGAAGAAACAUGCCUGAUCUGUCUUCUAGAACAAUCUUUCUGGAUUUCAAUAGGGCUUUUAGUGCUACCUCCCACAGCAUCCUUCUGGACAAAUUGUUCUACUGUGAGAUGAACAGGUUCACGCUGUGCUCAGUGAUGAACUGGCUGAACUGAAGAUCUCAAAUGUGGCUACAUCUGACUGGCAGAUGUGCUCUGAGUUGUUCCCAAGAACUUAAUUCUAGGGCCUGUACUUUUCGAGAUUUCAGUCAGUGAUAUGGGUGCAGGAGUGAAGAGCACCCUCAACAAGUUUGCUGGUGAUACUGAACUGGAAGAUGCUGUUGUUCUCCUGGUGAAAUGAGAAAUGUUGUAGAGGGAUCUAGAGUGGGGCUCUUUUUCAGUUGUGACGUGAAGUUCAGCAAAGGAAAAUUCAGAGUGCUGCAGUUAGGAUGGACUAACACAGGACUUGGAGAUAGGUGGCUGGAGAGCAGCUCAGCAGGAAGGAACCUAGGGGUGCUGGUGCCAGUGGCCUCAGAAUGAGCCAGCAGCGUGCCCUGGCAGCCACAAGGCAAACCACAUUGUGGGAUGCAUUAAAACAGAACAGCCAGUCAAAAUUUACUCUCCACUGUGUUUAGCAUUGGAACAGUUUCACACUGAAUAUUGUGUAUAGUUCUUUUUUCCACCAUAUAAAUAGGUUAGGGUCUUUGAAAGCACCCAGAGGAGAACAACACAGCUGCCAACAAGAUAGGAAGGCACGUGUCCUGUGACAAGAGGCUGAGGACACUCCGUUUAACUCAGUCUGGAGGAGGCUGAGAGGACCUCAGUGCCCCCUGCUGCUCCCUGAGGAUGGGAAGCAGUGGUGGUACUGGGCUCUGCUCCUGGGAACUGAUGGCAGAACAGGAACAGCACAGAGCUGCCAGUGGAGAGUCAGGCUGGGAAAUGGGAAACAUUUCUGUGAUGUGAAGGUGGUCUGCCUCUGGGGUAGGCUUCAUAGAGAGCUGUCUGAUGCCCAGUGCCUGUCAGUGUUCAGGAGGCAUAUGGACAAUGCCCUCAACAAUACAGUUUAACUUUUGGUGAGCCCCAGAGAGAUUGGGCAGUUGGGCUGAAUAAUUUUCGAGGGUUUCUUCCAGUGGAACUAUUCUAUUCUAUUCUAGGAUAAAAUGAUCUGUUCUAUGGACAAAUGUUGUUUACCUUGUUUACUUAAGUAAGCUUUUCAAAACUGUCUUCUACAAUAUUUUUCUAUCCAAACUGGAACAUUGCAACUGGAAUGGGUGCACAAAGAGAUGGAUAAAAAAGUGUUUGGAUACUUGGACUGCAAGAGUUGUGUUCAGUGUGUUGUUCUUUACCUGGCAGUGGUAACAAGUACAAUACUACAGGGUCUAACCUGUGACAAGUCCUGUUCAAAACCAGGACAGCUAUCAAGGACAGCAGGUCUACAGUGCUCCUGUAAUUAUUUUUGGCGCUGAACAGAAACACCAUGAAUGGCUUCAGCUAUGUGUUAGCUUUCCUAGUAGAAUAAUAAUCUGUGCAUUGAUGCUUUUUUUUCUAAAUAAUGGAGAUUCUCUUGUUUGUGGACUUUGUGACAUAUUCAAAUUAAAUUUGAGGCCAUCUGGAGAAUAAUGUAUGAUAUGGCUCAGGAGACCUUACUUGCCUGAUACUGUUAUCAGUGAACUAUCUAAGGAUGGAGACUUUGAGGUAGGUGUUUCCUCAGAGUGAGAGUCCUGUUAGGAUAAAAACCUGUAGAGGGAAAUUAUAUCUCCAGGUGUGGAUGAGAACAGGGCGUGUUUAGGUCCAAAGUAUAUCAGUACAAAUCUGGUAGAGUUGCUUUCAAGUGAUAUAAGAUGCUAUUGUACAGCAUUAAUUAUAUGAGAAUACUAUUCUGGGACAUAAAGAGAAGUAAGUAUAUGUAAAAUAAAAAUAUAAGAAAGAUGAGUAUUGAGAGAACGAAUGGCAGCUGUGUAUUUCACAGAAAAAGUCAAGAUGAAGGUCUCAGAUGGGCUUUGACUGUGGUAUACAGGCAUACAUUCCUUUCAUAUGUUUUUAACUUAAUGUAUAUGCUUUUUUUUUUUUUUUUUUUUUUUUUUUUUUUUUUUCCCCUUGUAUUGAAAUCCAGACACUAUUGUAAAGUAUGCUGCUUGAAAUCCAGUGUAGCUAGAUGCACUGGUUUCACUAUUUUGGAUCAGAGCAGGACAGGACAGGAAAGUUGUAUUCAGGUGUAACAGAGAUCUCCAGACCCUCGAAAAAGACAGAGCGAAACAAAACAGGGAAUCUAGCACAGCCUACAUAAGUGGUAAAAAGUAAGUCUUUUUAAAAUGCAGUUUUUAAUAAUACAAUGAUAUUUGUAGAAAUCUGAGUGAAUAAUACUGAUAGUUGUUUUAUUGACAUGAAACAUCAGUCUACUUUUCACUAGGUAGGAGAUUUACUGACAUUUGCCUCUAAACUCAUAACUACACACAAUUCUGUGAUUCUGUGAUUCUGUGAUAACUAGAAGUUUAAUGAGAUGAGACAGACAUCACAAAUAAAAGAGAAGCUAUUCUUGGUGAGUCACUUGCACAACUGGUGGGAAUUCUGUUUUUCAAAAUGAAUUUGUUUGUUACCUGCUUAUGACAGAUCUGUCCACCAUAUAUAGACAAUUUCAGAAGGAAAACAGCAAGACACAGCACUUCCAAAAUGCCCUAACUUGUGCUUGAGUUGGUGAAAAUUAAAAAUAUAGCAGAAUACUGGAGCUCAGUAUAAACAGCUCAGGGUCCUGGAAGUCAGUAUCACCUUGUAAGAAAAAACACACGUUGCAAAAGUUGAAUUUGGGCAGUUGCAAUUGAAAUGGCUGUGGGAAACAUUUCAUAUAAAAUCCACACUGCUUGAGAAUACAAACUUUGCAAAUACAUUUUACGCAUCCAACCAAAUGAGUUUUUAGUAGGUAGGUUCUGUGUAAUAUAAGUUGAAUGUCAACAGGCAGAUGUCUACACUAAUGAAAACACUCUGGAUACAUAUGUGUUGUAGAUAUAAUAAAUAAGAAUGAUAAAGUUUUGUUAUUACAUGCCAAAUCCCUGUUCUUGCAUAAGUUUUCAACAAAGUAUGUGUAAAUAAUGAAACCAUAAGAACAUUUGAUUUUCACAAUGACUUUAUUUCAAUGAAACAGCUUACAAGUGCUCUCUACAAAAGGAGGUAUUUAGUGUAUAUUGGCACUGAGCAGAUGUUUAAUACUGAUCUCUUCAAACAUUCAUGAAAACAGAUUUCGUACUUGUUCAGUCCUUUCAUCAUUACUUAAUUAAUACAUGGUGCUUUGUAAUAAAAAAAGGAAAGGAACUUAGUUACAUUUUUUAAAUUUUAUGUCAUAUCAGAUGGGUAGGACUGGGACUUAGAUUUGUUCUUCACUAUAGUUUUCUUCUUUCUUGAGUCAUGGUCACAAGCAGUUGUGAUGGCUAAAUAUGGGUAACCCUGCUGUCCAGCCUUGGUAGUGCAUCAGCGCAAAGUACAGUUGUCUUCAGAACAAAGAAGAAGAGAGCCAAGAUUUUGUUUCUUCCAAGAGACUGAGAACAUGGAAAGGAAGAAGGAAUCAUCCUACAUUACACAGUUUUCUUGUCUUUUCUAUUUAAUGGAAGAAGCUGGAGAAUGACCUCAGGGUCUUUCACUGCAUUAGGGAACAUCCUAGACUGGGAUCAUACACCAAGCCACAAGGCUCUUAUUUCCGUUCUGAGAGAGCACAAAGCAACCAGUCUUCACUGGAUAUUCAUGCCAGGAAUUGUCUCAUUGCCCUGGUAUGCAAGUAUCACCUAGUUUUAUAGCAUCAUCAGAAUAACAUCACCAAGCUGUUUCUUUCUGCAGGAUGACAGUUUUUUUCCAAGAUUUCAAAUAAUGAAAAAGCAAUUGUGAGCCAUGUUUUCAUGUCAAAGCAUUUAUAAUGAGUAUAUUCAUGCAAUAUUUAAAAUCCUGUGCUCAGUUGAACCUUUAUCUCCACUGACAAAUAUUCCCUGAAAAAUGGGUGAAAUCUAAAAGGGGAAUUGAAGGGUCAGAGGCAACUACAGGUGCCACAAAACUUACCCAAAAUGUUCUUAUCACAGAAACAACCUGCAAGGAUUUUACUCUUGCAGCUAUGCUCUAACUCUGUAAUGCUGCCAAAGUCCCUCUUAUAUUAUGGAAAAGGAGACAGAGGUGGGUGACAGAAAGUAGUAAGUUGUAAGUUUCCUUUAAAAAAUGUCCCCUGCAUUUUUAUGAGCAGUUUUGCCAUCUCAUCCGUUGCCUUACCUGGAAAGGUUGAAGAUGAGAUUGCAGCCUGUCAUCUCUUCUCAGAGCCAGCUAGUAAAUAAUGAAGUUAGAUUUUGGCUUGCUAACGGAAUUGACCCAAGGGGAAAGUUUUUGUUACAUGUUAAAAAGAAAGCAAAUAUUUCUUUGGUGAGGCAGGUUAGGAUCUCCUAACUCUUCAAAAUUGCUUCCUCCCUGAACUGCCACAUUUGUAACUCACUGUAUCCCCUUCCAUUCAUAAUCUAAACAUAACAACCCUUCUUUCAGCCACAAAUAAUAAUCCAAAAACCACAUCAGCCUCCCCCCCCCCCCCCUUACCCUGCACUCUGAGAUGGGGAUAGAAAGAAGUAAGCUAAUAAAACAGUGAGUUCUCUUCCUUCCUUCCUCUACCCCUCCCAUGUCAAUAGAUUUUGACAACAAACAUAAACAUCACAUAAUUCAAACAUGAAUUGAGCUAUUGGAGAACUCCCAUACUAAUGUAGGUGUUCCCUAUGAAAUGUGUUCACAUCCCAAAUCUUAUUCAGAACCUAGUCAUCUUGCUGGAAUUACAGCAAGACCUUAACCCACUCCCUGGGCUACAAUUUGAUUGCCAUUACUGGGGGCUACAAUUUCACAAAGGGUGUCUCAAAAUUUAAGCACAAUAACCCAGACCUGUUAACCUCAGUUCAAUGUUGAACCUUAUCCACAACCUAAGUAUAAUCCAGAGCAGCAUUUCAGCGUAGCUUCUGUGAACUAUCACUGAUUGCAGGCAUUUCUGAUCAGAGUCUUUCUGCUCUUUCUCCUCUUCUAUAACACAGACACAAGUGCACUCUUCCUCCCUCUCUCACUCUCUUCCACUCAUGAAAAAAACCCCCCACAAAUUAAUGGCAGUUAAGGAAGGAACUCAAUUCUGUCACAGUUCUGAACAAGGAAUAGAGAAGGGGAUUUUAUGAUUUCUGUGGAAAGAGAACAUGCUACAGGGAAGAACAUACUGCAAGAAAAAACAGAGAGGAAAAGUCAAUCAUCUGUUUUCUUCUGCCUUUUGGAGUACUUUGAACCACUGCUUUUGGACUGUCUUUAAACUGAUAUUUUUCUGAAUGCCUGUAUAAUCAUUUCACAGUUCAUGUACACACCUAAAUAAAGUCUAACGAAAGAAGGUCUAAAGAAAUGAGGUAUUUUUCCUUUAUGGAAUUCCCAGGGGAUUCUAAUCAUCAGACCAGU